AUGGCAACUAGAAUAAGAGCUUCAAAGAAGGACCGAAGGACCACUCUGCUGUUUGUGUUGUCGUUGAUGGCUCUGUGUAUACUCUCCCAGACCUCCAUGUAUUCCUGCUCGUGCUUCACAGCUGUCAUUGGCACUGCCAGCUCAUUGGUCAUCUCUUCCAGCUUGUUCUGGUCCUGUAAUUUCCACGUCGAUGUCCAGGAAGCCACCCUCCGCCACCUCAAAGAUAAAGCCCAUCUUGGUGCCCUAGGUGACCCACUCUUGCUCUUGAAGAAACACUCCUCAGCAUGCGCGUUGGUGCUAAUGAAGUAGCCCGAGGCCGUGGCCAGGAGAUGGGCCAGGAGCACUAGCAGCUCAGCAGGUGUCACUGUGGUGGGACUCGGGCCGAAGCCAGGACCCGGACUGAGGCUUCCAGAGCUGCCACCGCUAUGUCCUCAGCCACCGCCACCUCAGCUGAGGCCAUACUCUUAAGUGAAAUAAACAGGACACACAUGUAAAUACCGAAUAGUUUCUCUGGUGUGAGAAACUGAAAGUGUACAUAAGGAUGAAAAUGAUUAAAAUGAAUAAUUGAUAAUUUGAAAUAGGAAGAAAAGGUCCAAAGGGGUAGGGGAAGUAGGAGGGGCAGGGGAAAGGAAAGGAGGGAAAGGAAAAAUGAUGAGAAAAGGAAAAAAUGGAAACAAAGUCUUCGUAAAUAGGGAAGGGUGGAGGGGGUAAAGGGACCACAGGGAAUGGGGGAAAAAUAAAAACCAAGAUACGUCGUGUAUAGGUAAAAGCACCCAAUGAUAAAUGUAAACGUAUUGUAUACCUAAAAUGUAC
rnacentral:lncRNA from 1 species